GGCGGCCGCGGGAAUUCGAUUAGAGUUUGAUCAUGGCUCAGAUUGAACGCUGGCGGCAGGCCUAACACAUGCAAGUCGAGCGGUAGAGAGAAGCUUGCUUCUCUUGAGAGCGGCGGACGGGUGAGUAAUGCCUAGGAAUCUGCCUGGUAGUGGGGGAUAACGUUCGGAAACGGACGCUAAUACCGCAUACGUCCUACGGGAGAAAGCAGGGGACCUUCGGGCCUUGCGCUAUCAGAUGAGCCUAGGUCGGAUUAGCUAGUUGGUGGGGUAAUGGCUCACCAAGGCGACGAUCCGUAACUGGUCUGAGAGGAUGAUCAGUCACACUGGAACUGAGACACGGUCCAGACUCCUACGGGAGGCAGCAGUGGGGAAUAUUGGACAAUGGGCGAAAGCCUGAUCCAGCCAUGCCGCGUGUGUGAAGAAGGUCUUCGGAUUGUAAAGCACUUUAAGUUGGGAGGAAGGGCAGUAAAUUAAUACUUUGCUGUUUUGACGUUACCGACAGAAUAAGCACCGGCUAACUCUGUGCCAGCAGCCGCGGUAAUACGAAUCACUAGUGAAUUCGCGGCCGCCUGCAGGUCGACCAUAUGGGAGAGCU
rnacentral:rRNA from 1 species